CCUACGGGAGGCAGCAGUGAGGAAUAUUGGUCAAUGGGCGUAAGCCUGAACCAGCCAAGUCGCGUGAGGGAUGAAGGUUCUAUGGAUCGUAAACAUCUUUUAUAAGGGAAUAAAGUGCGGGACGUGUCCCGUUUUGUAUGUACCUUAUGAAUAAGGAUCGGCUAACUCCGUGCCAGCAGCCGCGGUAAUACGGAGGAUCCGAGCGUUAUCCGGAUUUAUUGGGUUUAAAGGGUGCGUAGGCGGCCUUUUAAGUCAGCGGUGAAAGUCUGUGGCUCAACCAUAGAAUUGCGGUUGAAACUGGGAAGCUUGAGUAUGGUAGAGGCAGGCGGAAUGCGUGGUGUAGCGGGGAAAUGCGUAGAGAUCACGCGGAAUCCCGAUUGCGAAGGCAGCCUGCCAAGCCAAGACUGACGCUGAGGUGCGAAAGCGUGGGGAUCAAACAGGAUUAGAUACCCUGGUAGUC
rnacentral:rRNA from 1 species